GGGAAAUCUUCCGGCUUAACCGGAAGGCGUCUCAGGGAUACUGGCAGACUAGGGACCGGGAGAGGUGAGGGGUACUCCAGGGGUAGGAGUGAAAUCCUGUAAUCCUUGGGGGACCACCUGUGGCGAAGGCGCCUCACCAGAACGGCUCCGACAGUGAGGGACGAAAGCUGGGGGAGCAAACCGGAUUAGAUACCCGGGUAGUCCCAGCCGUAACCGAUGCGCGUUAGGUGUAUCAGUGACCACGAGUCACUGAGGUGCCGAAGAGAAAUCGUGAAACGUGCCGCCUGGGAAGUACGGUCGCAAGGCUGAAACUUAAAGGAAUUGGCGGGGGAGCACCACAACAGGUGGAGCCUGCGGUUUAAUCGGACUCAACGCCGGAAAACUCACCAGAUAAGACAGCUGAAUGAUAGUCGGGCUGAAGACUCUACUUGACUAGCUGAGAGGUGGUGC
rnacentral:rRNA from 1 species